rnacentral:pre_miRNA from 1 species
UUAGUUUAAAUCAUUUGUGAGUUUACACUUUGAAAAUUGAACUCAUACAAAGUGGCGAGACAUACUUUGAUUUCAUCAAA